rnacentral:rRNA from 1 species
GACGAACGCUGGCGGCGUGCUUAACACAUGCAAGUCGAACGGAAGGGCCCUGCUUUUGUGGGGUGCUCGAGUGGCGAACGGGUGAGUAACACGUGAGUAACCUGCCCUUGACUUUGGGAUAACUUCAGGAAACUGGGGCUAAUACCGGAUAGGAGCUCCUGCUGCAUGGUGGGGGUUGGAAAGUUUCGGCGGUUGGGGAUGGACUCGCGGCUUAUCAGCUUGUUGGUGGGGUAGUGGCUUACCAAGGCUUUGACGGGUAGCCGGCCUGAGAGGGUGACCGGCCACAUUGGGACUGAGAUACGGCCCAGACUCCUACGGGAGGCAGCAGUGGGGAAUAUUGCACAAUGGGCGGAAGCCUGAUGCAGCAACGCCGCGUGCGGGAUGACGGCCUUCGGGUUGUAAACCGCUUUCGCCUGUGACGAAGCGUGAGGGACGGUAAUGGGUAAAGAAGCACCGGCGAACUACGU